rnacentral:rRNA from 1 species
GAUGAACGCUGGCGGCGUGCCUAAUACAUGCAAGUCGAGCGAACAGAUAAGGAGCUUGCUCCUUUGACGUUAGCGGCGGACGGGUGAGUAACACGUGGAUAACCUACCUAUAAGACUGGGAUAACUUCGGGAAACCGGAGCUAAUACCGGAUAACAUAUUGAACCGCAUGGUUCAAUAGUGAAAGGCGGCUUUGCUGUCACUUAUAGAUGGAUCCGCGCCGUAUUAGCUAGUUGGUAAGGUAACGGCUUACCAAGGCAACGAUACGUAGCCGACCUGAGAGGGUGAUCGGCCACACUGUAACUGAGACACGGUCCAGACUCCUACGGGAGGCAGCAGUAGGGAAUCUUCCGCAAUGGGCGAAAGCCUGACGGAGCAACGCCGCGUGAGUGAUGAAGGUCUUCGGAUCGUAAAGCUCUGUUAUCAGGGAAGAACAAAUGUGUAAGUAACUGUGCACAUCUUGACGGUACCUGAUCAGAAAGCCACGGCUAACUACGUG